GAGGGUGACAUAAGAUCUGCUAACUCUUUAAUCUGGAACCAACACCCAGCUCCCUC
rnacentral:tRNA from 1 species